UUAAACAGGCUGACAUUAUACAUGUGCAAAUGUCAGCUGAAUCUAACUGUGCUAUUCUUUUUUAUAGGUAUGCCCCCGUUUUUGUGCAGUUUAAUGUUUUAUUAUAUGCAAAUUAGCCUCUAGGAGCGGGAGGGGGGGGGGGCUCCUUAUCCUUGAGGCUC